UACAGAGGUCCCGAGCGUUGUUCGGAUUCACUGGGCGUAAAGGGUGCGCAGGCGGUCGGGUGUGUCAGAUGUGAAAUCCCGAGGCUCAACCUCGGAACUGCGUCUGAAACUACUCGACUAGAGUACUGGAGAGGGUAACGGAAUUCACGGUGUAGCAGUGAAAUGCGUAGAUAUCGUGAGGAACACCAGAGGCGAAGGCGGUUACCUGGACAGUUACUGACGCUCAGGCACGAAAGCAUGGGGAGCAAAAGGG
rnacentral:rRNA from 1 species